rnacentral:miRNA from 1 species
AAAAGAAGAUAUUUUGAAAAAUGUUGGAAAACUGUAACCAUUGACCUCCAUAGUAUUUGUUUUUUCUGCUAUGGAAGUAAAUGGUUACAGGUUUU